AACGGCCGUACCAUGCUGAAUAUACCGGUUCUCGUUAGAUCACCGAAGUUGAGCAUCAUUGGGCGCGGUCAGUAUGACCACCUGGGAACACUGCGUGCCGU